rnacentral:lncRNA from 1 species
AGACAACAAACUAGAUACAGACACAUAAACAGAUAGAGAAAUAGCCAGAUACAUAUACAGGCAAAGUGAGAAACAGAAGUUUUACAAAACAUAUUUACAGCUAGCUAGCUAUGUGACAGAUAAACUAAACAAAAGUUGCCCAAAACAACAUUUCUUCCAAAUGUGGGUGUUUAAAUCUGAUAUUUUCUAUUUUAUAAUAUUCCGCUUCAUUGUUUUAAAAUGCUAGUUGUACUCAGUUGAUUUCAUGAACCUCCAGCAGGUCGUGACCAUAGUGUGAAAACACUGGUAUUGAAACCCCUAGUGGUACUCAGUUGAUUUCAUGAAUCUCCAGCAGGUCAUGACCAUAGUGUGAAAACACUGGUGUUGAAACCCUAACCAAGAGUGCACAGCCAGUGUGCAGCAGAAUGAGCCUCCAGUCACCAGCCCAGAGCUCUCAGACAGAAUUGAGUUCCCAUACAGUAGGACUUUCCACUCAUGUCUGCGGUCUAGGAGGAGAUUGGGUUGAGCAGCCACCAGGCACGAUGGAGCAACAAUUAACCCUGGAGUUGUGGAGGCAGGACCACAAGCCGAGAGAGGGCAGCAGUGGAAACCCAGCCAAACUAUUAAUGGAAGGCUGGGUCCCAUUCUUUAUUAUCCUUCUGUGGUCUCAUCACCAGCGGGGUGAGCCAAAGCCGAGGGCAAGAACACGCUGGGUGACCUUCCACACCCCAAAUGCAAGAUCAAGUGCUGUGGAGAAGGUGGUAUAAACAGGAGAAAAAGCACUGGGUAUAAGAAUCCACAAAAGGUGAUGUAAGAGUAAAUUAGGAGUGAAUAGUAAUAGUAGCAGCAACAACGAUGGCUGAGUGUUGAGUGUCUGCCACAAGCCAGGUACAGCGCCAAGGGCUGUCUUCAAGAGACAGGCACGGUAACAAAACCAACUGAUGGGGACUGCGAUGGGAGGGGUGGACAGAGGCUGCCCGGAUGCACAUCCUGGCUCUGCCACUUGCUGACAAUGUGGGCUUGCAUAUGUCACAUUAGAUGGGGACGGCUGUAACAAUUUCCUCAUAGGCUGUCAGGAGGAUUCAGUGCAAUAAUUCAAGUUCAGUGCUGGGAACACUGUUAGUGCUCAGCAAGUGUAAAUUAUUUGUUCCUUGAAAUUAAGAAAAAGAGAAAUGAUUGAUAGAUAGGACAGAGAUAGCUAGAGAGAGAGAGAUAAACAUUGAUAUAUUUAAAAAUACAUCUCUCCACCAUAUUCCAAUGCAACUGCAAUUCUACACAUUUCUUUCACUGCAAAAUUCAGUAUGUUUAUAUGACAUAAAAUAUCAGUUGUAUACCACCUGAGGGGAAACCAAGAAAGAGAAAAGCUGACAGUGACUCUUCCUGACUGAUAUUAAGUCUAAAAAUGCUGUGAUUUAUUGACUAUUCUUAGUGAGUACAGAUGGCUUUGAUAAAAUGAUUUGUAUUUUAAUUUAUUACUUCAAUAAAUAUAUAUUGGAUAACAUUUGGAAAAAUAAAAUGAAUUUUAAAAUCUGCUUCUCACGUUAAUAUUUUAGGUAUUUUCCUUCUCAUUUUAUUUCAUACAGUCAUUGUACAAAGGAUUGUGAAUGCACACACUCACAAUUGUGUACCUUUCAAUUCUAUUUCAUUGAUAAUUAUUUUAAAACUUUAUAUACCUUUGUAAUAAUAUUUCAAAUAUCUACAUAUUAUGAUUUUAUACGGAUGAUAAAUGAUUUACCUAACCUUUGCUCUGCAUUGGAUAUUUCUGUUCUUUCUAAACGGUAAUGAUUUUGAAUAGACACAUGUUCAUGCCAUUAAGAAUAACAGGAGAUUGAGGUUAACCUACCCCAGUACAUUUACAAACACUCAAACCCAGUCCUGGUAUCACCAACAUCAAAAUUUGUAUUACCUGAAGACAAUUUUAGGGACAGCUGGAAACACCAUAGCCAUCCUUGUUUCUGUCCUCCUGAAAGAAGAAAGUGCCUAGGCUCUAAGCCACACACAUACAGGUUCAGAAUCUGCUACCUUCUAGCUGUAGCCUUGGGCCGCUGCUUGACCUCUCUAAGCAUUUACUUUCUCAGCCAUAAAACUAUAAAAUAUGAGUAAUAUUGCAACUCUCAUCAGGUGAUUGUAAAGAUUAAAUCACAUUCCUUUGAUCCCUAUGCAUACCAAAUCCCACAUACAUGAUAUUCAUUGUACUAAUCAGGUGUGAGAGCUAUGAGCCCAAAUCUGAUCUCUUUCUGCAGACAGAAAACCUUACGCAGGCAGGAGUGAUGUCUCCUUUGCUCCUUUAGUGCUUAGCAUGAUGACUGUCACGUAACAGGCACUUGGUGAGCAGUUAUUAAACAAAUGACUGAGUAUCCCUCAAUAUGAAAACUUGAAAAAAUGUAGUAAUCAUUUGACCUUCCAGGGAAUGACGAGAACUUCAUUUUCUAUGUCUAACACUACAAUUAUGCACACGACUGAACUUCUAUCGCAGAAUAUUUUCCACUGGGAUGUAAUUGUAUUUAUGGAAAUGAUAAUAUAUCUUCAGCGAAACAAACUUCGAUUCCACUGUCCUACGUGGAAAAAGUCUAGAGAACAAUAGACUUUCCUAGCGGAAUGCCCCCUCCCAGACAUUGCUACAAAAUCACAAAGAAAAGGAAAAAAAGGAAAGUGAUUUUCCAAACAAAGCAUCUCUACAUGUGGGUGGUCAAUGAUGUUUACCUAAAAUGGAUUUGUGGCUGAAGAGAAAAUUCUUAUUUCCCGAAAGGUGAAUCUCACUGAUGUUGAUUACAGAAAUAAGUUGUACUGCUUGAUGUAAAGAGAGGAAAAAGUAACUUUUUAAUUUAUCUCUGCCCUAUACAAACAAGAGCCAGGAAAGAUUACAUGUUUGCCUGUGAUUCAGUUCUAGAGAGGCAAGAGACUCUAUCAAUAUCGAAGCUGUAAAUACCGGAACAUUCGAUUUGCUUUCUGCCCAUGAAAAGCAGAUUUUGUUGCUUUUCUCUUCUCUCUGCCGACAACAUGCAUAAACAGUGGUCCAAAGUGUGAUUAUUCCCUGUGGAUGCCCAGGUCCUUCCUGUUGCCUCCCCUCCACAGUUUGGGGGAAGGACUGUCAAUCCCGGUGAGACACCGCAACCUGGAAGCAGCUUCUUGUUAAUACUUUCCCCAUGAAACUUUGAGCAUUUAGGCAAAACCAACACAAUCACUUUUUCCCUCCAGAUAAAUAAUUAGAUCUCUAAGGCUGCUUAUUAUCAGAAGCCCGUUACGUAAGGAGCAGAAUGAUGGUUCUUUCAUCACGUCGCGUGAGUGGCUGUGACACACACUGGGCACACGUGCGUCCUGACCUGGGCUACAACAGCAUCUGUGGCAGGUAUUCCUAGGGUUCCAGAAAUAGACUCUGCAGACAAGCAGAAUAGAGCGCGGGAAGCAUCUUCGUCUCUUCGGAGCCAUGGUCUCCUAGUCUGCAAACACCUACCAUGUGACCCUCAUCACUGCCUUUUUGUGGGGCCUCAGUGCCAUCGGGCUGGGCUGUGAGGACCCUUUUUCUAAUCACACAACUCUGUACUGACUAUUUUCAAACCAAAGAAUUGGCAAACGUUGU